GAUGAACGCUGGCGGCGUGCCUAAUACAUGCAAGUCGGGCGAACGGACGAGAAGCUUGCUUCUCUGAUGUUAGCGGCGGACGGGUGAGUAACACGUGGAUAACCUACCUAUAAGACUGGGAUAACUUCGGGAAACCGGAGCUAAUACCGGAUGAUAUUUUGAACCGCAUGGUUCAAAAGUGAAAGACGGUCUUGCUGUCACUUAUAGAUGGAUCCGCGCUGCAUUAGCUAGUUGGUAAGGUAACGGCUUACCAAGGCAACGAUGCAUAGCCGACCUGAGAGGGUGAUCGGCCACACUGGAACUGGAACACGGUCCAGACUCCUACGGGAGGCAGCAGUAGGGAAUCUUCCGCAAUGGGCGAAAGCCUGACGGAGCAACGCCGCGUGAGUGAUGAAGGUCUUCGGAUCGUAAAACUCUGUUAUUAGGGAGGAACAUAUGUGUAAGUAACUGUGCACAUCUUGACGGUACCUAAUCAGAAAGCCACGGCUAACUACGUG
rnacentral:rRNA from 1 species